GAUGAACGCUGGCGGCGUGCCUAAUACAUGCAAGUCGAGCGAACAGACGAGGAGCUUGCUCCUUUGACGUUAGCGGCGGACGGGUGAGUAACACGUGGGUAACCUACCUAUAAGACUGGGAUAACUUCGGGAAACCGGAGCUAAUACCGGAUAAUAUUUCGAACCGCAUGGUUCGAUAGUGAAAGAUGGCUUUGCUGUCACUUAUAGAUGGACCUGCGCCGUAUUAGCUAGUUGGUAAGGUAACGGCUUACCAAGGCAACGAUACGUAGCCGACCUGAGAGGGUGAUCGGCCACACUGGAACUGAGACACGGUCCAGACUCCUACGGGAGGCAGCAGUAGGGAAUCUUCCGCAAUGGGCGAAAGCCUGACGGAGCAACGCCGCGUGAGUGAUGAAGGUCUUCGGAUCGUAAAACUCUGUUAUUAGGGAAGAAUAAAUGUGUAAGUAACUGUGCACGUCUUGACGGUACCUAAUCAGAAAGCCACGGCUAACUACGUG
rnacentral:rRNA from 1 species